UACGAAGGGGGCUAGCGUUGUUCGGAAUUACUGGGCGUAAAGCGCGCGCAGGCGGUCUUCCAAGUCAGUGGUGAAAGCCCGGAGCUCAACUCCGGAACUGCCAUUGAAACUGUUGGACUUGAGUACGAGAGAGGUGAGUGGAAUUCCCAGUGUAGAGGUGAAAUUCGUAGAUAUUGGGAGGAACACCUGUGGCGAAAGCGGCGCACUGGACCAUAACUGACGCUGAUGCGCGAAAGCUAGGGGAGCAAACAGG
rnacentral:rRNA from 1 species